rnacentral:lncRNA from 1 species
CCAGGUGACGCUGUACCAGUGUGUUUUCAUUUCCAUUUGUUUCCAUGAAAAAUUAUUAUUUCUUCUUUGAUUUUUUGCUUGACCCAUUCAUUGUUUAAGAAUAUGUUAUUUAACCUCUAUGUAUUUGUGCUCUUUCUAGAUUUUUCCUUGUGGUUGAUUUUUAGUUUUAUAGCUUUGUGGUCAGAAAAGUUGCAUAGUAUGACUUUGACCCUUUGAAUUUAUCCAGUCUUGUUUUGUGGCCUAAUAUGUGAUCUAUUCUUGGAGAAUGUUCCUUGUGUACUUGAAAAGAAUGUGCAUUCUGUUGUUUUAGAAUGGGAUGUUCUGAAUAGAUCCGUGUUAGAGCCUUGUGGUCCAGUGUGUCAUUCAAAACUACAAGUUCCUUGUUGGUUUUUGAUUUUCUGUUUGGAUGAUCUAUCCACCAAGAUAGCUUGCACAAAAGCAGGCAGAGGGACAGAGAUAGAGAAAUCCUCAAGCGGACACCCCUCUGAUCAUGGAACUUGACACAGGGCUCAACCCCAGGACUCCCAUAUCAUGACCCAAGCUGAAAUCAGGAGUCAAUGUUCAAUCCAACUAAGCUACCCAGGCACCUCUCAAUACUUUCAUAUUACUCAGUGCUCAUCAAGGUAAGUGUACUUACCUUUCCUCCAGCACCCACCUGUUCUCUC